rnacentral:rRNA from 1 species
GACGAACGCUGGCGGCGUGCCUAAUACAUGCAAGUUGAGCGCUGAAGGUUGGUACUUGUACCGACUGGAUGAGCAGCGAACGGGUGAGUAACGCGUGGGGAAUCUGCCUUUGAGCGGGGGACAACAUUUGGAAACGAAUGCUAAUACCGCAUAAAAACUUUAAACACAAGUUUUAAGUUUGAAAGAUGCAAUUGCAUCACUCAAAGAUGAUCCCGCGUUGUAUUAGCUAGUUGGUGAGGUAAAGGCUCACCAAGGCGAUGAUACAUAGCCGACCUGAGAGGGUGAUCGGCCACAUUGCGACUGAGACACGGCCCAAACUCCUACGGGAGGCAGCAGUAGGGAAUCUUCGGCAAUGGACGAAAGUCUGACCGAGCAACGCCGCGUGAGUGAAGAAGGUUUUCGGAUCGUAAAACUCUGUUGGUAGAGAAGAACGUUGGUGAGAGUGCAAAGCUCAUCAAGUGACGGUAACUACCCAGAAAGGGACGGCUAACUACGUGCCAGCCGCCGCAGUAA